GUCUUAUUUCAAAGAAAUUUGGUAAAAUUAAGACGAAACUGAGAAGAUUAUUAUGACCUUUGCGCAAUGAUGCAACAUACAAAUAAAGAAUUAGCUAUAUAAAAUAUUU
rfam:Brassica rapa chromosome A1, whole genome shotgun sequence.